CACCCAUUAUCUGUUUAAUCCACCCUAUUUACCCAUUACCCACACAAAUAAACCCAUUUUAUUUAAGUCUAUCUUCUUUUAUCUAGAACGUUGACCGGUGCUCAUAGCUUCUGAUGCUUCUGGUGGUGGUAUAGUUACAGAUCCAAACAAAACCAUGGUACUCAGAAACAGUCACCUUGGCAGAAAGGAAAAAGCAAAAUGUACUCUCUUGACUCUUUUUUCAACUCUUUCA
rnacentral:lncRNA from 1 species